rnacentral:rRNA from 1 species
UACGAAGGGGGCUAGCGUUGUCCGGAUUUACUGGGCGUAAAGAGCGUGUAGGCGGCCAAGCAGGUCCGUUGUGAAAACUGGAGGCUUAACCUCCAGACGUCGACGGAAACCGCGUGGCUAGAGUCCGGAAGAGGAGAGUGGAAUUCCUGGUGUAGCGGUGAAAUGCGCAGAUAUCAGGAAGAACACCAAUGGCGAAGGCAGCUCUCUGGGACGGUACUGACGCUGAGACGCGAAAGCGUGGGGAGCGAACAGG